AGUUGACGAUUAAAAUGUAUUCUUCAAAAAGUGUAUAUUUAUUGUUAUUCUGUUUGAUUUUAAGUAUUUUAACUAAAAUAAAUAUUGCAUGCAAAGAUAUAGGUCAAGCAUGUAAUAAUAAUAAUGAUUGCUGCCAAAAAUUAUGUUCCAGAAAAAGUGGCAUGUGUCGUCAAUUUCGUGGAAGAUCGAAAUUUUAGUAACUCAACAGUCUUUUUGAAAAGCAGUCUUAAUUUUUUUAAAUAAGAUUUGAAGAUGAAACGUACUGAACGAUAAAAAAUACUAAGAAAAUAAAUUGUGAUUCUUAUCAUGUUCUUUAGGUCAUUAUAAUUAAUACAUUUUCUGGCAAUAUUAUUAUCAUCAAUUAUAUGGAAAAAUAAAAAUAAAAUGUAAA